rnacentral:rRNA from 1 species
CCUACGGGAGGCUGCAGUGGGGAAUAUUGGACAAUGGGGGGAACCCUGAUCCAGCCAUGCCGCGUGUGUGAAGAAGGCCCUCGGGUUGUAAAGCACUUUCAGUGAGGAAGAACGCCUUGUGGUUAAUACCCAUCAGGAAAGACAUCACUCACAGAAGAAGCACCGGCUAACUCCGUGCCAGCAGCCGCGGUAAUACGGAGGGUGCGAGCGUUAAUCGGAAUUACUGGGCGUAAAGCGCGCGUAGGUGGCUUGAUAAGCCGGUUGUGAAAGCCCCGGGCUCAACCUGGGAACGGCAUCCGGAACUGUCAAGCUAGAGUGCAGGAGAGGAAGGUAGAAUUCCCGGUGUAGCGGUGAAAUGCGUAGAGAUCGGGAGGAAUACCAGUGGCGAAGGCGGCCUUCUGGACUGACACUGACACUGAGGUGCGAAAGCGUGGGUAGCAAACAGGAUUAGAUACCCCUGUAGUC